rnacentral:tRNA from 1 species
CAAGUUAGAGCUUGAUAUUAAGCAUUUUAUUUACAUUAAAAAGUUAAUUGUGAAAUUCAAUUUAAUUUGA